UUGUGUUUCAUCUUCCGGCUUUAUCAUUUUUCCGCAUUCUCCUCGGCCAAUCGUUUAAAAUAAUUUCCACGCGACACGGUUUACCGGUAUUGCAGUUGGUAGUACGAGGCUUAACUGUCACCGAAUAAAACCUUGCGUAACAUUUUACCGAUAAAUCGUCCUCCGUAAACUUUCUUCUCAUCAGCGUUUCAAACCAAUUUUGCCAGCAAAAGUGAAACGUCGCAAUGCGACCAAUAAAAAAAGUGAGACCAAUAUCCAUACCAAAGGUCAAUGUAUUUCAACAAGAGUAUCUUGUAGCAUACUAAAAAUUACUUUCUAGUUUGGCAGAAAGAAUGCUUACCACAAAAUGGUAGAUCUCCUUGCCAUUUUCCACGAAUGUUGCAUGUUAAAGUGCCACUGCUGAGCAAAUAAUAAUUAAAUGAAAUAACCGAAAUUCUUUAUUUCAUGAUAAACAAUGCACGACAAGAGAACGGAAGACAAACAUGUAAACACGUAAACAAAUCGUCAAUCAUACAAAUUAUAAAACGGAGAAAGUUUAUAAUGAGUAAGUAAUACCAUCGACGAUUAUCGUACUAUACAAACGAUCGCUUGGUUGAAACUGAAUAUCAAUCUUUAUUCAUCAAUCUUUAUUUAUUUAAAAAAAGUUGGAUUUUUGAACGUUUCUAUAUCUAUUUCCGAUACUCGAUUAAAUAAUUUUAAAAAAUCCUCAUUGCUUAAAUUAUUUUCGUAUAUAUAGGAAGAUUUGUUUCAUAAGAUAUUAUAAGUUUUUGAGUGGAUAUUAUCUUAUAAGUUCUCAGUAAUUAAAAAAUGAAAUUGCAAAUGCAUUUUUUUAUUCUUGAUUUUUGUUUUAUUCUGAUUUGAAAAAUCAUUUCUUAAAUUUUUAAAAAUGAAAAUCCUAUUUAUUUAUACAUAUAUUGCGAAGAAAGCAUAAUAAUAUUUUUUUUUCAAUUUCUCUUUACUAAUUAUUAAUAAUUAUUAUAAGUAAUAUUAUAUUAAUUUAAUUUUAUUAUAAUUAAACCACCAUACAGUUACUUAUAUCUCUAAUGAAUUCUCGUAAGUUAUUUAAGUAUGACGUUUAAUAUUCCACAAAGAACGGAUAUUUCUAAAGAGUCACUUACCCAAAUAAUUCGUAUCCGGCAUCACAAGUAUAUGUCGCCAAAGUGCCUGUUGCUAAGGAUUCAUCGGACAAUGACACCUUGGCAUUCAUUGGUACAGCUGGAUGGCCGCACUUUAAUUCUAUAUUUUAUAAAAUAUUUGUAACGUGUUAACGACUAUUUUGGAAAGAAUCGCAUUAAAUCCAGAUUUCGAAGAGACGAAAAGGUCGAGAAUUCUCGGUUAAUUGCUGCGUGCGUACGUGUAAACACGUACUAGCUUUAGUCUGGUCUUUGGCAUUCGCUGAUCGCUUCAUGGGUCUGGGUCACGCGGUUACAAAACUUUGAAGCCGAAAUAACGGUACGACAUGGAGCUACUUCGAAUCGGGACUACUACCGGUAAAGCAUGUCACCACAGUAUAAUUCCUGAUUUAUCGUCAUUUUCUUUUAUCUUUGUUCUUUUAUCUUUUAUCUUUUUUUAUGAUUUGACAAUUCGAAAAAAAUAAAAAAAAAUAUAUAUAUAUAAAAUAAAUAUAAAAGAAAGCAUUCAUUGACUUUUAAAAUAGAUAGUAUUUACUAAAUAAAGAAAGAAAUUCUAAUGAGUUAAAAAAUUAUUAAUAUAAAUUUUUAAAAUUAUAAAUAAUUUUUUUUAAAUAAAUAUAUUUAAAAAUAAAAUAAUAAGUAUAUUAUCAUACAGAUGUAAUAUAUAAAGUGUGUGUGAAAAUAGAAGAUCGAUUAUAAUUUA